ACUCCUACGGGAGGCAGCAGUGGGGAAUAUUGGACAAUGGGCGAAAGCCUGAUCCAGCAAUGCCGCGUGAGUGAUGAAGGCCCUAGGGUUGUAAAGCUCUUUUACCCGGGAAGAUAAUGACUGUACCGGGAGAAUAAGCCCGCUAGCUACCCGUGCCAGCAGCCGCGGUAAUACGGAGGGCGUAGCGUUGUUCGGAAUUACUGGGCGUAAAGCGCACGUAGGCGGCUUUGUAAGUCAGAGGUGAAAGCCUGGAGCUCAACUCCAGAACUGCCUUUGAGACUGCAUCGCUUGAAUCCAGGAGAGGUCAGUGGAAUUCCGAGUGUAGAGGUGAAAUUCGUAGAUAUUCGGAAGAACACCAGUGGCGAAGGCGGCUGACUGGACUGGUAUUGACGCUGAGGUGCGAAAGCGUGGGAGCAAACAGGAUUAGAUACCCU
rnacentral:rRNA from 1 species